UACGAAGGGGGCUAGCGUUGCUCGGAAUCACUGGGCGUAAAGCGCACGUAGGCGGAUCUUUAAGUCAGGGGUGAAAUCCUGGAGCUCAACUCCAGAACUGCCUUCGAUACUGCGGGUCUCGAGUCCGGGAGAGGUGAGUGGAAUUCCUAGUGUAGAGGUGAAAUUCGUAGAUAUUAGGAAGAACACCAGUGGCGAAGGCGGCUCCACUGGCCGGUACUGACGCUGAGGCGACGAAAGGCGUGGGGAGCGAACAGG
rnacentral:rRNA from 1 species